CCAUACCAUUUUAUUCCCAUCACAACAAAAUUCCUUUUCACAAUAACUACAUUUAGCUUUUCUUUUUUCAGUAGUCCCUUUUGUUUGGCUUGAAGCUUCACCCACCGAUUUUCCAGAAUCUAUUGAAGUAGGAGUUGUAGCACUACCCUCAAUAGAUGUUGGUUCGGUGGACAUUCUGCAAGAAGAAACUAUACAAUAGAUUAAAAUACAUUUAUAUACAACAUAUAAAAAGAUUAAAAUGUAUACAUAUUUAAAUACAUUUACUGGAGAACAAUCAUGAAUUUUUCACCACAAAUUAUCAAUCUGUUUAUGUAUUGGGACAAUGUGAAGGUGAUAUAGGAGAUUCAGAUUGUGGGGAAUGUAUUAAAAAUGCAGUUCAAAAAGCUCAAGUUGAAUGUGGUGAUUCAAAUUCAGGCCAAAUCUAUUUACAUAAAUGCUUCAUUAGUUACAAUUAUUAUAUAUAUGGAAUCCCUAAAAGAUGAUCAUCUUCAUUUUCACAUUCUUUAGCUGUUGCUUUGACAAGUAAAAACUUAGAGAACUUUAAAAAGAAAAAUCAAUUUCAAAAAUGAUUUUUUUUCAUUUAAACUCUUUCAAAAAUCAAUUUCUACUUCUCUGAAUUUUCAAUCACACAAAAGUCUUUGAUAAUUUUUUGAAUAAAGUAUUGUGUGGUUAAAGUCAAUCCAAUCCAUAAAUAUCAAUAUUAAUAUAAUUUUAGAUAACUUUUAAAUAGUAAACAUAUGCUAGCAUGUUAGGAACUUUGGUAUUAUUCAAAGUUACAUGUGAUAAACAUAGGAAAUGUGUAACACCCCCACGCCCGAGACCAUCUCCGGAGUCGAGCUUGAGGUGUUACCUAACAUAAUUUAUCGAAUUAAGAACUCUGAAUCAUUUAUUUCUACAUUCACAGCUUUCUAGCUACAUGCGUCACAGUUACAAGAAAAAUCAUAUCUCGAGUUACAAAACUCGAAAUCAAGAUCCGUAAAUUUUCCUUAAAUCUAGACUCAUAUAUAUAUUUAAAAAAAUUUUUCUAUAAUUUUUUUGGUUGGGCCAAUUAAUAAAAUUUAUUAGUUAAAGUUACCCCUGUUUCAGGACUUGACUGGACUGACCUCUGUUUACUACGAACCAUAUUUCUCUCUGUGAAAAGUUUAUAUGACUAUGACGUUUAUUUAUUACGAAACUAGACUCAAUAAGGAUUCCAAGAAUAUAAAAUACACCACCUAAUUAUUUUUUUACAAUUUAUGGUAAAUUUCUAAAGUUGGAACAGGAGAUCCAGAAAUCGCUCUGGCCCUGUUUCACUAAAAUUCAAAUAUCUUAUAACAUAUAAUUCAUUUACUUGUUUCAUUUGUUUUAUAUGAAACUAGACAUACUAGGCUUCAAUGUCAUAUUUAAUCCAUCACAAAAUUCAAUUUCUAUGAUUUUUAGUAAAUUUUCAAACUCAUGUCAGUGUUGUUGUAAAAUUCUGUUUAUGGCAAAUUUCCUCUUUUCAUGAGUUUUUAUGAUCUAGAUAACAUAUUAAACUUCCAUGACAUCAAACAUGAUCUAACUUAGCAUUUUCCAUGACUUAUCAUUAUUAAGCAUUUUCUCAACCAAAUCAUGGCCAUAUCACAAAAUUAUUUACACAAAAUAGGUGUAUUGCUAUACAUGCCAUACUUAAGUUUUACAAGCCAUUUACCAAAAAGAGUCCUUCGGAUAGUGUGAUCGAACCUUCGACCUGUCCCGAUUCCUAAGCCGGCUUGUUCAAAACUACAGUGAAUGAAAAGGAGGGAGUAAGCAUAAAUGCUUAGUAAGUCAUAUGCAAAUAACAAGUAACAUAACAAUACAAUUAUACCAAACAACCUUAGCAUGGUAUCACCAAAACAGAUAUCACAUUUCUAAACAUCAUUAAUCAUCUUACCACCUUAUCGUUGUUGUAUCUAUUUUCAACCCGAAGGUUAAGUACAUACCUGUCCAAAGUGUCCAUUUCACAAUACUUACCAAUACGUCACCUGCAUCUUAAGUGUUCUUCCAUUUCACUAGAAAUUUUACCCGUUGGACACAUCGGAAUAUAACUCGGAUACAUGGAUAAUUUGCACAUAAGUGCCAUAUUUGUAGCCAAGCUACCAUGUAACCCGCCCAUAAGUGAACUCGGACUCAACUCAAUGAGCUCGGGCGUUCGCAUCCAUAAGUGAACUCGGACUCAACUCAACAAGUUCGGAUGCCUAGUUACAUCUCACGAACUCGGACUCAACUCAACGAGUUCGGACAUUUCACAUCCAUAAGUGAACUCGGACUCAACUCAACGAGUUCGAAUGUUCAACCAUCUUAGUGACAUGUCACUUGUAUCCUAAUCUAUUCCUAAGGUAAACGGGAUUUUCCUUGAACACAUCUCCUUGCCAUCUUCCGUAAAAUACCGAAACCAAUACUCGGUAGCACUUUAUAUUUAACAAAUAAUACACUUAAUUUGCAUUUUAUUCGAAAAUAACCACAAAGCAUAUAUUUCAUGAUAAAAAUCAGCAUAUCAUAUAUUUAACAUCAAUAACUUAAAAAUAACAAUUAUGCUACCUUAUUUACACAUGAACUUACCUCGGUACAAAAUUUUUAACAAUCGAGCCUAUUCCUCGUAAACUUUGUUUUUCCCUUGAUCACGACUUGAAUCUUGUUUCUCUUGAUCUAUAAUACCAAAUUAAUCUUAUUUAAUACAUACAUUCAUUAAAACAGUCCUUAAUACGAACUUUGGCAAAAUUAUCAUUUUACCCCUAAACUUUUGCAUAAUUACACUUUUGCCCCUAGGCUCGGGAAUUAAACUUCAUCCCUUAUUAUCAUGUUUUAUGACAUUCUGAUCAUUUUUCCCUUCUAUGGCAACAUCAAAUUCUCACUCUAACAUGUAUUUAUGACUACUAAAUAUUUUUACCGAUUAAGCCUUUUUACUCGUUUUUACUCAAAACCGAGUAGCACAAGUUGUCUAACAAAAUUUAAAACCUCAUAUUCUGUCAUAAAACACCACAAUACACAAAUUUCACCUAUGGGUAUUUUUCCAAAUAUGAACCAUAGGUUGAAUUAUUGUUAACAUAAGCCAAAUCGAGCUACCGGGAUUUCAAAAACAUAAAAAUCAUUAAAAACGGGGCUUGAAAUCACUUACUAUGAAGUUUGAAAGUUGAAGAAACCCCAGCUAUGGAGGAGAGCAA
rnacentral:lncRNA from 1 species